rnacentral:rRNA from 1 species
GAUGAACGCUAGCGGCAAGCUUAAUACAUGCAAGUCGAGGGGCAGCAUGGGGGCAACCCUGAUGGCGACCGGCAAACGGGUGCGGAACACGUACGCAACCUUCCCAAAACUGGUGAAUAGCCUUUCGAAAGAGAGAUUAAUACACCGUAAGAUAACGAGCAGGCAUCUACUUGUUAUUAUAGUAGCAAUACGGUUUUGGAUGGGCGUGCGCCUGAUUAGGUAGUUGGCGGGGAACGGCCCACCAAGCCUGCGAUCAGUAACUGGUGUGAGAGCACGACCAGUCACACGGGCACUGAGACACGGGCCCGACUCCUACGGGAGGCAGCAGUGGGGAAUAUUGGACAAUGGGCGCAAGCCUGAUCCAGCAACGCCGCGUGGAGGACGAAGGUCUUCGGAUCGUAAACUCCUGUCAGGUGGGACGA